rfam:Schistosoma curassoni strain Dakar, Senegal genome assembly, scaffold: SCTD_scaffold0008632
AUCUAGCUGAUGUGUCCCGAACAGGACGAAACGCGCCUCCUGGAU